rnacentral:tRNA from 1 species
AUUCGUGUAGUAUAUUUAAUACAGAGCAUUUUCAGUGCGCAGAUAGACAGUGUCUCUCGGAUA